GAGUUUUUCGUAUGUACCGGGUCUGUACACCUUCCCCAGGGUACUCAAUAAGCCUUUCAUCUAUAGAUCCACAUCAUCAACCAAUCACACAUCACAUACCAACAUCUCAUUUAUACCAAUUAACCGUAAAUCAUGCAAAUAGACAACACGUAAAAUUGAGAAAACACGAUUGAAACAUUUAUUUUAGAUCAAUUAACGGA
rnacentral:lncRNA from 1 species